rnacentral:rRNA from 1 species
AGAGUUUGAUCAUGGCUCAGAGCGAACGCUGGCGGCGUGCCUAACACAUGCAAGUCGAACGUGAACGGGGCAACCCUAGUAAAGUGGCGUACGGGUGAGUAACACGUAGGUAAUCUACCCAAGAGUUUGGAAUAACCUGCCGAAAGGCGGGCUAAUACUAGAUAGAGCGACGGGAUCCGUAAACGGAUCUUUCGGGAAAGGGAGCUUGUAAGAGCCCUCGCUUUUGGAUGAGCCUGCGUCUCAUUAGCUAGUUGGUAGGGUAAUGGCCUACCAAGGCUUUGAUGGGUAGCUGGUCUGAGAGGAUGAUCAGCCACACUGGAACUGAAACACGGUCCAGACUCCUACGGGAGGCAGCAGUGGGGAAUCUUGCGCAAUGGACGAAAGUCUGACGCAGCCACGCCGCGUGAGUGAAGAAGGCCUUCGGGUUGUAAAGCUCUGUCGCCUGGGACGAACAUCUAUACAGUUAAGAGCUGGGUAGACUGACGGUACCAGGAGAGGAAGCACCGGCUAACUCCGUGCCAGCAGCCGCGGUAAUACGGAGGGUGCAAGCGUUGCUCGGAAUUAUUGGGCGUAAAGGGGUAGGUAGGUGGUCUCGUUUGUCUGGGGUGAAAGCCUUGAGCUUAACUCAAGAAGUGCCCCAGAAACGGCGAGACUCGAGUACUGGAGAGGCAAGUGGAAUUCCCGGUGUAGCGGUGAAAUGCGUAGAGAUCGGGAGGAACACCAGAGGCGAAGGCGGCUUGCUGGACAGUUACUGACACUCAACUACGAAAGCGUGGGGAGCAAACAGGAUUAGAUACCCUAGUAGUCC